UACGAAGGGGACUAGCGUUGUUCGGAAUCACUGGGCGUAAAGCGCACGUAGGCGGAUGUGUCAGUCAGGGGUGAAAUCCCGGGGCUCAACCUCGGAACUGCCUUUGAUACAGCACGUCUCGAGUCCGGAAGAGGUGGGUGGAAUUCCCAGUGUAGAGGUGAAAUUCGUAGAUAUUAGGAAGAACACCGGUGGCGAAGGCGGCCCACUGGUCCGGUACUGACGCUGAGGUGCGAAAGCGUGGGGAGCAAACAGG
rnacentral:rRNA from 1 species